rnacentral:rRNA from 2 species
CGCGUAGGCGGCUUGAUAAGUCGGGGGUGAAAGCCUGUGGCUCAACCACAGAAUUGCCUUCGAUACUGUCUGGCUUGAGACCGGAAGAGGUAAGUGGAACUGCGAGUGUAGAGGUGAAAUUCGUAGAUAUUCGCAAGAACACCAGUGGCGAAGGCGGCUUACUGGUCCGGUUCUGACGCUGAGGCGCGAAAGCGUGGGGAGCAAACA